rnacentral:rRNA from 1 species
AUUGAACGCUGGCGGCAGGCCUAACACAUGCAAGUCGAACGAGUGGCGGACGGGUGAGUAAUGUCUGGGAAACUGCCCGAUGGAGGGGGAUAACUACUGGAAACGGUAGCUAAUACGCCAUACCACCGGUUGUGCCCAGAUGGGAUUAGCUAGUAGGGGGGGUAAAGGCUCACCUAGGCGACGAUCCCUAGCUGGUCGGAGAGGAGGACCAGCAAAACUGGAACUGAGACACGGUCCAGACUCCUACGGGAGGCAGCAGUGGGGAAUAUUGCACAAUGGGCGCAAUCCUGAUGCAGCCAUGCCGCGUGUAUGAAGAAGGCCUUCGGGUUGUAAAGUACUUUCAGCGGGGAGGCGUUACCCGCAGAAGAAGCACCGGCUAACUCCGUGCCAGCAGCCGCGGUAAUAC